rnacentral:rRNA from 1 species
GACGAACGCUGGCGGCGUGCUUAACACAUGCAAGUCGAACGAAGUGGCGAACGGGUGAGUAACGCGUAAUCAACCUGCCCUUCAGAGGGGGACAACAGUUGGAAACGACUGCUAAUACCGCAUACUGAAGGAGGGGAUUGCGGCUGAUUAGCUAGUGGGAGGGGUAACGGCCCACCAAGGCGAUGAUCAGUAGCCGGGCUGGGAGGAUGAACGGCCACAUUGGGACUGAGAAAAGGCCCAGACUCCUACUGGAGGUAGCAGGGGGGAAUCUUCCGCAAUGGACGAAAGUCUGACGGAGCAACGCCGCGUGGUUGAUGACGGCCUUCGGGUUGUAAAGCUCUGUUAAUCGGGACGCGGUACCGGAAUAGAAAGCCACGGCUAACUACGUGCCAGCCGCCGCGGUAAUUC